rnacentral:rRNA from 1 species
AUUGAACGCUGGCGGCAGGCCUAACACAUGCAAGUCGAGCGGCAGCGGGAAGUAGCUUGCUACUUUGCCGGCGAGCGGCGGACGGGUGAGUAAUGUCUGGGAAACUGCCUGAUGGAGGGGGAUAACUACUGGAAACGGUAGCUAAUACCGCAUAAUGUCGCAAGACCAAAGAGGGGGACCUUCGGGCCUCUUGCCAUCAGAUGUGCCCAGAUGGGAUUAGCUAGUAGGUGGGGUAACGGCUCACCUAGGCGACGAUCCCUAGCUGGUCUGAGAGGAUGACCAGCCACACUGGAACUGAGACACGGUCCAGACUCCUACGGGAGGCAGCAGUGGGGAAUAUUGCACAAUGGGCGCAAGCCUGAUGCAGCCAUGCCGCGUGUAUGAAGAAGGCCUUCGGGUUGUAAAGUACUUUCAGCGGGGAGGAAGGCGGUACGGUUAAUAACCGUACCGAUUGACGUUACCCGCAGAAGAAGCACCGGCUAACUCCGUGCCAGCAGCCGCCGUAA